CACGUAGGGCGCAAGCGUUGUCCGGAAUUAUUGGGCGUAAAGAGCUCGUAGGCGGUCUGUUGCGUCCGCUGUGAAAACUCGGGGCUUAACCCCGAGCCUGCAGUGGAUACGGGCAGACUAGAGGUAGGUAGGGGGAGAAUGGAAUUCCCGGUGUAGCGGUGAAAUGCGCAGAUAUCAGGAAGAACACCCGUGGCGAAGGCGGCUCUCUGGGACGGUACUGACGCUGAGACGCGAAAGCGUGGGGAGCGAACAGG
rnacentral:rRNA from 1 species